GCCGGGGCGUCGGCGCCGGCGGCCAUCUUGGCUUCCCGGGGAAAGGCGGUGUGAGGGGAAGAAGUUGUAGGGUGGGGGCAGGAGUGAGGAGGAGGGAAGAAAGAGGGGGAGGAGGCCGCGGCAGGGCAGGGCGGGGAUUGCCUGCCUGCCUGCCUGCCUGGGUUGCGGAAGUGGUAGCCGCUGACCGAGCCUGCUGCUCUCUCGCUACUGCCUUCGGCUUCCCGGCUCCCCCCCAGACGGAGAGGGCGACCCGGCCGUGGAUGGUCAGAUAGCUUCUACCUCCCGCCGCCCAUCCCUGGCCCCAACCGGCACGGAGCAGACGGGGGCAGCAGCAGCAGCAGGCGAGGAGGAAGAUGGCGGGACGGCUGCCGGCCUGUGUGGUGGACUGUGGCACAGGGUAUACCAAACUAGGUUAUGCUGGAAAUACAGAACCACAGUUUAUCAUCCCUUCCUGUAUUGCUAUUAAGGAGUCCGCAAAAGUGGGUGAUCAAGCUCAAAGGAGGGUGAUGAAAGGUGUUGAUGACCUAGACUUCUUCAUUGGUGAUGAAGCAAUAGAAAAACCUACAUAUGCAACAAAGUGGCCAAUCCGCCAUGGUAUAGUUGAAGAUUGGGACUUGAUGGAAAGGUUUAUGGAGCAAGUGAUCUUUAAAUAUUUAAGGGCAGAACCUGAAGACCAUUAUUUUCUUUUGACUGAACCUCCACUGAAUACUCCAGAAAACAGGGAAUAUACUGCUGAAAUAAUGUUUGAGUCCUUCAAUGUUCCAGGCUUAUACAUUGCUGUACAGGCCGUUCUUGCCUUAGCUGCAUCUUGGACCUCCAGACAAGUAGGAGAACGGACGUUGACUGGUACGGUAAUAGACAGCGGAGACGGUGUCACUCAUGUCAUCCCAGUGGCCGAAGGAUAUGUGAUUGGCAGCUGUAUUAAGCACAUUCCAAUCGCAGGACGAGAUAUAACAUAUUUUAUUCAGCAGUUGCUGAGAGACCGAGAAGUAGGAAUUCCUCCAGAGCAAUCCUUGGAAACUGCUAAGGCAGUAAAGGAGCGCUAUAGUUAUGUCUGCCCAGAUUUAGUAAAAGAAUUUAACAAGUAUGAUACAGAUGGAUCAAAGUGGAUUAAACAGUAUACUGGAAUCAAUGCUAUCUCAAAGAAAGAAUUUUCCAUUGAUGUUGGAUAUGAGAGAUUCUUGGGACCUGAAAUUUUUUUUCAUCCAGAGUUUGCUAAUCCAGACUUUACUCAGCCUAUCUCAGAAGUUGUAGAUGAAGUAAUUCAGAACUGUCCUAUUGAUGUCAGACGUCCGCUCUACAAGAAUAUUGUCCUCUCUGGAGGUUCAACCAUGUUCAGGGACUUCGGACGACGCUUGCAAAGAGAUUUGAAAAGAACUGUAGAUGCCAGGCUGAAACUAAGUGAGGAAUUGAGUGGUGGUAGAUUGAAGGUUGGUUUUCGUGAUGUUGGUGGUAAUGUGGAGGGUGCUUUAAUUGUUGUAUCGGGAAUGGAAAAUGUCUGCCAAUUUUCUUGUGUUUUUGUUUUUGUUUUUAGUGCUGUACCCUGGCAUGUGGAAGUUACCAGGAUAGGGGUCGAAUUGGAGCUGUUGCUGCCGGCCUACACCACAGCCACAGCAACACUGGAUUCAAGCCUUGUCUGUGACCUCUGCCGCAGCUCUCUGCAACACCAGAUCCUUAACCCACUGAGCGAGUCCAGGAAUCAAACAAACCUAUAUCUUCAUGGAUAUGAGUUGGGUUCGUUACUGCUGAGCCACAAUAGGAACUCCCGAUUUUCUUUUACCUUAGGAAGGUAAAAGGAACCUCUGAGAUACUCCAGUGAAAAGUGGUUAAUAUUCUAGGUUCAUAUCCAUGAUAUUCUUGGUCAUUUGAUUCCUCCAGGAUAUUACCUGCGUUUCUGGAAAAUAUUCUUAGUUAUAGCUCUGAGAAGGAUUUAUUUGAUCUCUGUCUUACAAUUAAUUUUUUCUCCUCAUAGUUAUAUAAUAUAUACAUAUAAAUAUAUGUCUAUAUAGUUACAUAUCAAUAUAUGUAAUAGAUUCCUUACAUAUUUUAGAGGUAAUAUUCUUUAUGGAUCCACAAAAUUGUAGGACAGCAAAGCGGAGCUGAGAGAGAGGCUGCUGUGUGGUCAGGCCUGCUUUCACAGACUGACUUUAGCCUCUCCAAUACCAGCCUUGCAGUGUGAAAUCAUAUUGGUGGUUCAGGAAAAUAACCUUUCUAUAAUGUGUCCUAUAAUUUUGGGUUUGUUGUCAAAAAAUUAAAAUUAUCUUUGAAUUCUCAUAUGACUGGUUUCCAUAUGUUUAUAAGACUGAUUUUCAUUAAAUUUUAUGUUUCGUUUUUGUGAAAUGUAGGAUAUUGAGGCAAAACAUUGAUUCAGAGGGUAUGUUGCCAAGUAAAACACAUUUUAUUCAACUUGGAGCCCUCAUUCUUAGCAAUUUUCUAUCUGAGACUACCGCAGUCACUCAGGAUUACUUAAAAGUAAAAUACUACACUCUUAGAGUUUGCUGCUUGUUGAAAAACUUCAUGACACUAAGUUUUGAUUAUCUUCAACUUAACCCUUGGAGUACAGUAAAAAGUAUGUUUAAGUAGUUGUUUAGUUUGUAAUGACUCAUUACAUGAAAUGAAAAAAGUGCUAUUUUUGGAUACAGUAUUUCAAUAAAAUAAAAAUAAUUACAAUAUUUUUAAGCUGUAUAUUUCUAAAAAAUGAGAGACUUUUUUCUCUGAGAGAUGUCAGCACUAUACUGACCUAUCUAACGAUACAAGAAAAACCCUAUAUACUGGAGGACUACCUCCUUCCCUUUGAUUACUUGAUAGUCGUUUUGUAGAUCUUAAAACAUCUUUAUAAAUCUGUAUUUAAAUCUGGCUUUAUUUCUUUUCAAUCCCAUUUUUAAUGGCAGCCAAAUAGCUCUUUAACACACAAAAAAGCUGUAUCUUUUUUAGGACAUGUAAGUUUUUAAACUUCAUCUCAAAGUACUUUGUAUUUUUAAAAAGUAGAUAAAACCUAGUAGAAGAAAUUCCUAUAUAUUGUUCUAGAUUGCCAAAUUUUAGUAUUUUGUAUUUGCUUUAUUAUUUUAUUUUAAUAAAUGUGUAUAUAUACACAAAUAUACACAUACAUCUAUUCCUGAACUGUUUGAGAAUGAGUUGCAAAUAAGAUGUCCCAUUAACCUUAAAUAUUUUAGUGCGUAUUUCCUCAAAACAGGCCAUUACAAUUAUCAAAAAUCACAAAAUUAACCUUGAUGCAUAAUAUAUUGUCAUACACAAUGUAUUAUUUAGUUAUAGACCUGAAUCAAAUUUUGCCAUUUUUCCCAUUAUUGUUCUUUAUAGCAAAAGAAAAAAAAAUACUUUUUUCUGGUCUAGGAUUUAAUUCAGGAUCACAUACUUGAAUAAGGUAUCAUGGCCCUUUAAUCUGGAAAAAGUACUUGUGUUUUUUGUCUUUUAUAACCUUAAUGUUUUCAAAGAAUACAGAUAACUUAUUUUGCAGAAUGUUCUCAAUUUGGAGUUGUCUGAUACUUCCUCAUGACUAGUUUCAGGUCAUUUUUGGCAGUAAUACCACAGAAGUGAUUUUGUAUUCUUUUUAGAGCACUAUAUCACUAGACACAUUUGUCCCAUAUGUUAACUUUAUUUACCUGGUUAAGUGUCAAGUUUCUCUACUAUAAAGUUAUUUUUUCCUUUAUAUUUAAUAAGAAUUUUAAGGGAAAUACUUUCAGAUCAUGUAACCCUAUUUUUCAUCAAACUUUCAACCAUUGGAUUUAAUAUCCAUUUUUCUUUCCUAAAAUAAUUACCACUUUUGUCGUUUCCAAAUAAUAUUUUGCAACUUCCAUCAUUUCCUCUGUUUUAUAGUCUCCUUUUAUUGUAAUGAAAAGUAUUUCCUUCUCCUUCAUUCAUUCAUUUAGUAACGAACUCCUGAUUUCUCAGGCUGAUUCACUGAUAUCAUUGUGCCAAAAUAUCAACAUAUCAUUAAUACUAUUAUUAAUUUUGAUGCUCAGAUUUUCUCUGAUUUGGCCAGUAGGAACCAUUCAAAGGUGGCUUUUUUCCCUUUUCUUAUGGCCUCAGUAUUUUUCAAGUACUUUCUUAAUUUUUGGCACAGCAAAAUAUUAUAGCCUCAUCUUGGACUUCUUUUCUCCAGUCUUAGAAUCAGCCAUUUUGUUUCAUUUAUAUAAACAGCUAAUUUUCUUUCUUUCCUUUUUUUUUUUUUUUUUUUUAGGGCCUCUCCCGAGAUAUGUGGGUGUUCCCAGACUAGGGGUUGAAUCAGAGCUGUGGCUGCUGGCCUAUGCCAAAGCAACACAGGAUCCAGGCCGCAUCUAUGACCUACACCACAGCUUCUGGCAAUGCCGGAUCCUUAACCCACUGUGCAAGGCCAGGGAUCGAACCUGCAUCCUCAUGGAUACUAAUUGGGUUUGUGAACUGAUGAGCCAUGAGGGGAACUCCAAUAGAUGAUUUUUUACUUAUAGAAAUUAAAAGCUGUGAAUUCAUACUGAUGCUGCCAGUUGCAGGAUACCAUAAGGUUCAUUCUAGCCUUCUACCUUCUCAUAUUUGUAACCCUCUCUGACAGUAAGAAACCUGUCUUCCAUUUUCUAAAAUAUAUUUGUUUUAGCUCAAUCCUGUUAGUAGUUUUUAUCUUAAGCCUAAGUACAUAGUCAUAAUACUGUGUUUACAAGUUACCUAGGUUUCUCUCACCUCAGUGUGGUUAUGUUUUUAAAAAAAUAGUAAAAUUAUCUUAAUUUGUUUUUGUUGCAUUCUGUUUUACCCCAUGUACCCCUUGCAUCUUUUAAAGUUUAUUUUUAUGUGAAACAUUGCAUUCUUGUGUUUGUACAUUUAUGUUUAAAUGAUACAGAAAUUGUUAUUUGAAUUUACUGUUGAACUGAUCUUACCAUGUCUUUUUUAGCCAAAACCUAUUGAUGUACAAGUCAUUACACACCACAUGCAGCGAUAUGCAGUUUGGUUUGGAGGAUCCAUGUUGGCUUCCACACCUGAGUUCUACCAAGUAUGCCACACCAAAAAGGAUUAUGAAGAAAUUGGACCUAGCAUUUGUCGUCACAAUCCAGUGUUUGGAGUCAUGUCGUAAAAUUGGCUUCAUAGUUAUUGGGGUUAGGGAGGUAGGGAAGAAAUAAUCUUUCUGAAUACCUGUUUUGUCUGGAUGGCUGGUUUUGAGGUUUUAAGCCUGACUUGAAAUAAGACCAAACAUAAUUAUACAGGAAUAUUUUAAUAAGUGUAUCAACAUGCGAAUAUAGAGGAGAGCCAAAAUGAUUAAGUGUUUUUCUUUAGAUUGAAUAUUUGAAUCUUAUGUGUAACAAAAAGAAGUGGGUUUUAGUUCUUUCUGUGCCCUGGUAUUUUGUAUAUUAUUGAAUUAUCCAAGAUUUGAUGGGAUUUAUCGGUAUGUAGAUAGCUCUAUAAUGCUUGAAUUGUACACUUUGAAGUGUGCAAUGCAAGAGCUUGUUUAUAUUUCAUACUUUUUAUACUUUGAGGAAAAAACGUCAAAGAAAAACUAGUAUUUGAGGGAAAAAAAGCAACCAAGUAAAGGAUAGAUACAAAAAAUAGCCUGUGAGACUUGGCAUACACACACACUCAUGGGAUUCCAGUUAUUACGAAGUGCUUCCAUCCUCCUGUGCCCCACAAUGGUUUUCUUUGCAAGUGCUUUUGGAACUAAGAAGCUAGUAUCUUGGAUUAACUGAUGCCUGCUAGUGCUUUCUGAUUACUUGCAUUCUGUUUCUUGCUUUAAGGAAAAGUAAAGACAAGACUGUUGGACCAGUAUUGCAGUUCUGUAGUGUCAUUUCUUAUUAAAAAAUGAAUAAUUUGAUUACCAAAAUUGGUAUAUUUAAAGCCUAACACCAUUCUAAUAAAGGCACAGAUUUCUUUUUAAUACAUGUUUCAAGCUCUUUAAUCUCUUUAUAAGUUAACUAAUAAAUCUAUUUUCUUCAAAUCUGCAAUAGUUCUUUAAAGUCACAACAGUUAGCAAGCUGACUUUUUUAUGUGCUCUAAACAAAUAAUUGUGAACUUUUAAUAUGUUGAGUGCUUUCAUUUUGAUAACUGGAUCUCCAUUUGAUAUUUUCAUUUGUAUAACUCAUUUGCAGUCUGAAAAAUUUUUUUAGUGCCAGUCCCUGACAUAUCAUGAAAAGUUAAUUUUCAUUGCAUUUUAAAAUAUCUGGAUCAUGAAGAAAAAGUGAUGAAAAUAAAUUAAAACUGAAUUACCUUUUCUAAUGUUUUUUUUAGAAACAGUGUUAUUUUACUUUAUUUAUGUGAUUUUUAUUUCUGUUCAAAUAGAGGGAUUUAUUGAAAUCUUUGAAAUUUUACCAGUUAUUUAUAGAAAACUAGAAUGGGAGAUGUUUUAUAGGCUUUUAGAACUUAAUAAUACCAACAAACAUGAAAAUAACACUUAGGAUUAAUAUACCUCUGUCUAAAAGUUAAAGAACAGUUACAGUGUUUUUGUGGUUUGUUUUUAUUUCUUUAAUUUUUUUUCAGGGCCGAAUCUGUGGCAUGUGGAAGAUUCCAGACUAGGAGUCGAAUCAGAGCUGCAGCUGCUGGCCUACACCACAGCCACAGCAAUGCCAGAUCCAAGCCUCAUAUGCAACCUAUACCACAGCUCGUGGCAGUGCUGGAUACUUAACCCACUGAGCAGGGCCAGGGAUCGAACUCACAUCCUCAUGAGUACUUGUCAGGUUCAUUUCUGCAGAGCCACGAUGGUAGCUCCAUGUUUUGUUUUUAAUAUAAAGAUAGAAUUGGGGAGUUAACUUUAGUUUUAAUUUAGAUUGAGUCUGGAUAUUUAAAAUUAUAUUAAUCAUUUGUGUAACUCUUAAUUCUUUCAGUAUGGGAAUCAAGAACAUAUGUCCUCAGUAGUGGUAAUAUCAGUAUCAGAGAUUUUUUUUUCUUUUUUUUUUCAUGGCAUGUGAAAUUUUCCAGUGCAGAGAUUGAACCCACACCAGGGCAGCAACUGAAGCUGCUGCAGUGACAACGCUGAAUCCUUAACCUGCUACACCAAAAGAGAACUCAAAGAUCUUUUUUGUGGCAUAUGGAAGUUCCCAGGCUAUGGAUCAAAUUGGAGCUGUGCAUCUGCUGGCCUACACCACAACCACAGCAGUGCUGGAUCCAGGCUGCAUCUUCAACCUAUACCACAGCUCACGACAAUGCCAGAUCCUUAACCUACUGAGCAGGGCCAGGGAUCAAACCCAAAACCUCAUGAUUGCUAGUUGGGUUUGUUUCUCCUGAGCCACAAUGGGAACUCCUCAAAGAUCUUUUUUAACUUAAACAAAUAUUUCAUGAACAUUGUAAAAAAAAGCUGUUCAGGAGUCCCCUUGUGGCUCAGUGGGUUAAGGAUCCGAUACUGAGACACUGACACUGCUGUGGCUCCAGUUACAGCUGUGGUGCUGGUCUGAUCUCUGGCCUGGGAACUUCUGAAUGCCAUGGGUGUGACAAAAAAAAAAAAAAAGAAAAACCCCAAACCUUCAAACAGUACCAGAAAGUACAUGGUGAAAGUAGACUUCUUUACCACCCUACUCUAUCACAUUUUCUCAUCAUAACACUAUUAGAAUGUCUUCUGCAUCCUUGUAAUUUUCUCUGCGUGUAGAAAUGAAUAUAGCUCCCUUAUUUUGCACAAAUAGCUUACUAUGUAUGCUUUCUGCACUUUACAUUUUAAAGAUCUUUUGAUAUGGAGCUAAAUUGAUACAUGUUAUAGAUCUCAUCCUCCUGGCCGAAGAAAGUAUUGUCAUAAAUGUCUUUUCCAUCUAGGACAGUUGAAUAGUAAAUAAACUCAAAAGACAUGUUUGCAAAGCUGCAGAUCACAGUCUUAUGCUUACUUUUUAUAAAGAUGUUCUUAGCUGUUUGAUAUGAAAAUGUGAAGAUCAGAAAUUUUACUUUAAGCUUAAACUUCUUUGGGGAACAAGAAGACUCUUUCCUGUAUGUUACCUGAUAUAUAUAUACAGUGCUCUUAUUUUUUUACAUCUCUCCUGUCAUUGUAUAUAAUUUCUUCAAUUUAUGGCAACUUUGGUUAUAUAUGUGUAGAGCUUGGCCAAGGUGAAUUAAAAUCUGUAAUACUGGAGUUCUCACUUGGCACAGUGGGUUAAUGAUCCACCUUGUCUCUGUGAAGGUGCUAGUUCGAUCUUCAGAACCUUAACCCAUUGGUGUGGCAUAGAUCACAGAUGCGGCUCAUAUUUGAUCCCUGGCCAAGGAACUUUCAUAUGCUGCAGGGGCAGCUGAAAAAGGACAAAAGAAAAAAAAAAAAUCUGUAACACUGUUUCAGUGUCAGACUACACUGGAAAAAACAGUAGACUGAGGCCAGUUGUUGAAAUUUUUAUUCUGGUUCUAUAAAUUAAUGAUAAAACUCCUCCAGCAUUCAUUUUUUGUGUUGGUACUGUUUUAAAACAUGGCAAAUAUAUUUGUGUGAUCUUGGACAUAACUGUUUGAACUUUCUGGACCUUAAUUUAAAUAUGAUAGUGGUGUUAUAUGGAUUAACAGUGUCAUUUUUUGGGUUGUGAGAAUUCAACCUAGCUUUUUUUUUUUUGUCUUUUUUUAGGGCCGCACCCGCAGCAUAUGGAGAUUCCCAGGCUAGGAAUCAAAUUGGAGCCUAUGCCACAGCUGACCUACACCACAGCUCACGUCAACACCGGAUCCUUAACCCACUGAGCAAGGUCAGGGAUUGAACUUGCAACCACAUGGUUCCUAGUCGAAUUCAUUUCUGCUGCGCCACGAUGGGAACUCCUAACCUAGCUUUUUAAACGAUUCAUUUGUGGUUGUAAAGAUGUUCUCUAAUAUCUCCUUUUUAAUAAUUAGCUGGGGCUCUGAUCAGUUGGGAAAUAUUAGUAGACAGAAAUAAAAUAGUUGCUGACUAUCUGACUCUUUAGUAAGUAUAACUUAACCCUUAAACAUUACUAAAUGGCUUACACUGCAAAUAAUCACCCUUUCUGAUCUGUCUUCCUUUCAGAUAAGAGAUAAAGCAGUUAGCUGUUCAGGUCCCUUAGUACUAUUUUUUGUUUUUUUUUCAAAGCUACCUUAACAGAUGGAAUAAACUAUUCUUGCAGUUUCUAGAAAUAUCUGAAGAAAUAAUAAAAUGAAUUGUAGGGAUAAUAGGCUACUACGUUCUUUAUUCCUUUUUUUCUUUUUUUCUUUUUUUUUUUUUUUGGCCACAUCCACAUCAUUGGAAGUUCUGAACCAGGGAUCAAAAGAACAUGUUCCUUCCCAGCGACCUGAGCUGCUGCAGUUAACCCACUGUGCCAACAGCGGGACCUCUUUAUUCUUUAUUCUUUGCUUAAUUUCUAGAGAAGUCUAGAUAAUCUAUCUAUAUAAUAGAAAUUUCUUCUUUCAAGUAACCCUAAAGGUGGUACCAGAGUACUUGUAAAAAUAUUGAGAAAAUCACUUAUAAAAGGUUAUUUGUAUUGUUUUCAAGACAUCACACAGCAUGAACUGAUCAAGAAAAGCCACAACCUGUUUACACUGAUGAAGCUUCUAGGAUCAGGUGAACUGUGUCGUGAAAACCAGUGAGGAAGAAGACAAAGAGGAAUAAACAACCUGUCUUUUAAUAAAGACAUUUUAAAAGUCAAGAAAAAAGUUUAUUUAUACCAUUGUAAAUAAAGAGUGCCCUCAUUCCUCUAAAUACUCGACUGAUCUUCAGUAGUAAAGUCCAGUGUGUUUCUGAUUAUUUUACCAGCCUAGCUCUGACUCCUGUGACCCUGUACUCCCUUAUCUUUUGCAGUUCAUCAUCAAUAGGCUUGAGUACCUUGGAUAGCCCUCUGCAGUCUCUUCUUUAACUGUUAGUACUUGGAUUCCCAGCUUAGAUUAAUGGGCACUAAAUACAUUAGCUGACAUACAAACCAAAGUAUGUGCAAACUCUGGGAGUGAAAUAUUCUCCUGUCUGGAAUCCUGUGUCUUAGAACAUAUUUCAGUAUAAGAGCACUUAGUCUAUGUAGUCGGCCAAGGACAGAGUUAUCUAGAAAUUGUAAAGAACUUCCACAGCAUAUUUUGAAAGUAAGUAUUUUAUUUUUGUAACUAGGUUCCUGUCACAUCUAAGUUGAUCUUAAGAAUUUGUAGAUCUAUGGAGAUCCCGUCGUGGCGCAGUGGUUAACGAAUCCGACUAGGAACCAUGAGGUUGCGGGUUCCGUCCCUGCCCUUGCUCAGUGGGUUAACAAUCUGGCGUUGCCAUGAGCUGUGCUGUAGGUUGCAGACGCGGCUCAGAUCCUGCGUGGCUGUGGCUGUGGCUGUGGCCGGCAGCUACAGCUCCGAUUGGACCCCUAGCCUGGGAACCUCCAUAUGCCGUGGGAGCGGCCCAAAAAAUAGAAAAAAGACAAAAAAAAAAAAAUUGUAGAUCUGGUGGGUCUGAAAAGUUUUUAGGCUUUAGUAGAAAAGGAUUUCUUCUACUUAUUAUUGAUAACUCCUCAAUAUUGUAUUCAUCUAUCUUUCACAUUAUUUGUUUUCCAGAAUAUCAGAACUUUAUUGCCUUCUUGGUCUUGAUAGAGUCUUAACAAAAAUAAAGUCUGUGGUUGUCUUUUGUAUUC